GACGAACGCUGGCGGCGCGCCUAACACAUGCAAGUCGAACGAGCGAGAGAGAGCUUGCUUUCUCGAGCGAGUGGCGAACGGGUGAGUAACGCGUGAGGAACCUGCCUCAAAGAGGGGGACAACAGUUGGAAACGACUGCUAAUACCGCAUAAGCCCACGGGUCGGCAUCGACCAGAGGGAAAAGGAGCAAUCCGCUUUGAGAUGGCCUCGCGUCCGAUUAGCUAGUUGGUGAGGUAACGGCCCACCAAGGCAACGAUCGGUAGCCGGACUGAGAGGUUGAACGGCCACAUUGGGACUGAGACACGGCCCAGACUCCUAUGGGAGGCAGCAGUGGGGAAUAUUGCACAAUGGGGGAAACCCUGAUGCAGCGACGCCGCGUGGAGGAAGAAGGUCUUCGGAUUGUAAACUCCUGUUGUUGAGGAAGAUAAUGACGGUACUCAACAAGGAAGUGACGGCUAACUACGUGCCAGCAGCCGCGGUAAAACGUAGGUCACAAGCGUUGUCCGGAAUUACUGGGUGUAAAGGGAGCGCAGGCGGGAAGACAAGUUGGAAGUGAAAUCCAUGGGCUCAACCCAUGAACUGCUUUCAAAACUGUUUUUCUUGAGUAGUGCAGAGGUAGGCGGAAUUCCCGGUGUAGCGGUGGAAUGCGUAGAUAUCGGGAGGAACACCAGUGGCGAAGGCGGCCUACUGGGCACCAACUGACGCUGAGGCUCGAAAGUGUGGGUAGCAAACAGGAUUAGAUACCCUGGUAGUCCACACCGUAAAC
rnacentral:rRNA from 1 species